rnacentral:lncRNA from 1 species
UAUCCUAAUUUUUGUAGUUCAUCAUAAUCUUAAACAUAGUAAGAUACAACUAAAAUGAUGAAUCAAAUGUCUCAUUUUAUUAUCAAAUAAAAAUAUUGUUACAUGAGUUGAAAGUUUAUAAAGAAAAAUUUCAUCGCAUCAUACAUACGAUUGACAUAUAAGGCACUCUUUUUUCAAUUACUGAUGCAUGUCGUAGCACGUCGAAAUUAACCCUACUCACUACUAUAUAGAUAGAUUGAGUCGGUAUCAUAUCCACAGAGAUCUAUGUCUGAUUAUUUUAAAAAUAAAAAAAAUAGAUUGAAAAAAAUUAAUAAAGAGACAAGAAAAUUAUAAUAAAAAAACUUUUUAUUAAUCUUAUAAAGCAUACAUAAAAGAAAGAUAAAAAUGUGAUACAAAAAAAUUAACUCCAAAUUGAAUCUUCUAGCUACACCCGAUGGUACGUAUGCUUCUUUGAAUUCUUUAUUUUCCUCCAUGC